UUUGGUGGCGAUGGCGGAGGGGUUCCACACGUACCCAUCCCGAACACGACCGUUAAGCCCUCUAGCGCCGAUGGUACUUGGACCGCAGGGUCCUGGGAGAG
rnacentral:rRNA from 1 species